CACAUAUAACACCCCGGCAGUACGAGGACCUGGGGGCCAAGAUACCCAAGGGAGCUAUCCUGACCGGUCCUCCUGGGACAGGGAAGACUCUCCUGGCAAAGGCGACGGCUGGUGAGGCCGACGUGCCGUUCAUCACCGUCAAUGGCUCAGAGUUCCUGGAGAUGUUUGUGGGCGUCGGCCCCGCCAGGGUGAGAGACCUGUUUGUCAUGGCGAGGAAGAACGCUCCCUGCAUCCUCUUCAUCGACGAGAUCGACGCCGUCGGACGCAAACGGGGACGAGGAAACUUUGGAGGACAGAGCGAGCAGGAGAACACGCUGAACCAGCUGCUGGUGGAGAUGGAUGGUGGG